AGCAUGGCACUAGAGGGGAUGUUCUGCAGUGGAUGACAAGAGGUCUGGUAUUUGUGAUGGAAAACAAAAAAGUAGAUGUCGUGUAAGCCAGUCCACCUUCCUAUAGGAGAUGCCACUGCUGGACCACCUGCAGAGCAGAUCAUCUAUCUGUACACCCAUACAGCUGCGGGUGACCUAGAAUUACACAUCCUGAGAUCAUGCUGGACCAAAAUAAGGUAAUUUUUUAACUAAGUGUUGGUCUCAUGUCUGGCCAUAUUUCACGAUUAUCUUUGCCCUUUGGAUUCCUAAACCCUAGAGGCUGGGGAGGGCUGCUAUAGGCGUUAUUUGUGCUUCCCUUUGUUUUCUAUUUUGGAGUAGAAGAUUGAGAAUUCUUCUGGUGAUGUAUGGGACAAAAGCGUAGUUAUGAAAGAUGCAGCUGUGGCACUGUUACAAUUCGCUUGCCUUUGAAGGCCCUUUAGGAAGGGUUUCUGAUGUGAAGAAAUAAGAUUAAUCUCUGGCUUGAGAACUAAGCCAAAUGGCAGCUCCCGAAACACUGUAGGCUGUGAGCAAAAACCUGGAAUUGGAGGGAGCUGCACUGCUUGUUGCAAAACCAAGGAUGAAGCAGUUGUGGAGGAGGGACUCCUUCCUUUUGCCUUUGGCUUCUAUGGAUUAUUUUCAUGUGUCUGUUUCUUACCAGCAAGGCUGCUCUCUCAACAUUAUGAUACGAACUUGACUGGCUUGUUCAUAUGUAAAACAGAGUUAAAUGUAAAGCAGAGGACUUCUUGACAGGAGGGCAUCCAAAGAAGUUAAGGUAAAGCAGCAAGGAUCAAUAUGCACUCACUUAAAGUGCGUUUUAUUUCUCAGGUGAGGUUUCUCAUUUAGGUCCAAAGCUGCCUGUGAUCUGAGGUUGGUUUGCAUAUGCCUUGGACCACUUCCUCUGCAGAAAGAGCCAGGUUAUUUUAAUGUAUGCUGUGACUGCUGCACAACUCUUUUGAAUGUUCCUGUAUAGAUAAGCCACAACUAACUUUUAGCUUCUUCUCUGCAGGUCUACUUGAGAAUACACAAAUAUUCUUCCUCACCCUUUUUUUUUCUGAUGCUUAUGACCAAUUUUGGCAGAGUGAAAUGUUUUGUGUUUAAUUUUAGCCUGCAGCAUUGUUUUCUAAGCUCCUGCAAAAUCCAAAAAGCAAAACACUUCUGUCAAGUGCUGUAAUGGGAACUGGGGCAUCUGUACGCUUGUAUGGAAAAAAUGAGUUCUACCAUAGUUGUUAGGUUUCUAUUACGUAUGGGAAACAGCACGACUUGAAUGGUCAUUUCAGGACGGUUAUUUUCCAGCUGCUCCUCGUGUGGCUACAGCACAAUUUCAAGUGGCCUUUCCACCUCAGCUGUCAUGGAGCCCAAGGAAUGACUGAAGUAAAUGGAGACCGUGCUGGCUGGGCAGCUGUCUUCAGUCACUUCUCGCUUAGUCAACCCAGUGCGUGUGUUUGUGAAAUGCCACACUCUCCCAGGGAAAUCUCUGCCAGUACCGCACCAGCCUUACUUCUCCCAGCAUGUAAUGCAAAAUCCUCUGAUGGAGCCAAGGCCCACUGACCUCUUGGUUACGGCUAGCAUAACAGUUUGUUCCUUUUUCUUUGCAGUGACUUGUUUUAUUUUCUGGAAGAAUGUUAUGUGUCAUUCUGCUCUGCCUUCUCUUUAGGUUAAACCCCACAUCGUUUCCUCCCAUGCCCAGUUUUCUAGAGCCCUGAUGGUUCCUAUUCUUCUUGUGUUGUGGGAUGUUUUUUGUUCCUGUUUCCCCACUUGGCUGCUCCUUCUGGUGUGAAGUACACAAACAGAACAAACACAGCCUACAGUGCUGUCUCAGGAAUGAGGCUGGAGUUCAUAUCAUACACCUGUCACUCCUUCUGGCAGUGUUUCCUUAUUUUCUUGAACGCUCUGAGGUAGAUUUAGGCACCUUAGAAGGCUGCUGAAGUUCAUGGACCUUUACAAAUAAUGCAUGGGGGAGUCAGUCUGGACUGCCAAUACCACAGAGGAGUUCUGCCAUGCCUGUCACUGCUGCAGGGGCUGUGAACGUUUUAAAUUGCUUCAGAAUGUCAGCAGCCAUUCGUCCGUGGGACUGUUUGUAUGCCCAGCUGCAGCUGAUGCGGGUGCGGGCGCUAGAGCCGGCCUGGCGGGGCAGCG
ensembl:lncRNA